rnacentral:rRNA from 1 species
CUCAAAGAGGGGGACCUUCGGGCCUCUCGCGUCAGGAUAUGCCCAGGUGGGAUUAGCUAGUUGGUGAGGUAAGGGCUCACCAAGGCGACGAUCCCUAGCUGGUCUGAGAGGAUGAUCAGCCACACUGGAACUGAGACACGGUCCAGACUCCUACGGGAGGCAGCAGUGGGGAAUAUUGCACAAUGGGCGCAAGCCUGAUGCAGCCAUGCCGCGUGUAUGAAGAAGGCCUUCGGGUUGUAAAGUACUUUCAGCAGUGAGGAAGGGGUGUACGUUAAUAGCGUGCAUCUUUGACGUUAGCUGCAGAAGAAGCACCGGCUAACUCCGUGCCAGCAGCCGCGGUAAUACGGAGGGUGCGAGCGUUAAUCGGAAUUACUGGGCGUAAAGCGCAUGCAGGUGGUUUGUUAAGUCAGAUGUGAAAGCCCGGGGCUCAACCUCGGAAUUGCAUUUGAAACUGGCAGACUAGAGUACUGUAGAGGGGGGUAGAAUUUCAGGUGUAGCGGUGAAAUGCGUAGAGAUCUGAAGGAAUACCGGUGGCGAAGGCGGCCCCCUGGACAGAUACU